rnacentral:rRNA from 1 species
ACAGCAGCAGCCGCGGGAACACGGAGGAUCCGAGCGUUAUCCGGAAUUAUUGGGUUUAAAGGGUGCGUAGGCGGAUAGAUAAGUCAGUGGUGAAAGACGGUGGCUCAACCAUCGCAGUGCCGUUGAUACUGUUUAUCUUGAAUAUGGAUGAGGUAGGCGGAAUGUGGCAAGUAGCGGUGAAAUGCAUAGAUAUGCCACAGAACACCGAUUGCGAAGGCAGCUUACCAAGGCAAAAUUGACGCUGAGGCACGAAAGCGUGGGGAUCGAACAGGAUUAGAGACCCCUGUAGUCCCUGUCUCUUAUAC